AACGAACGCUGGCGGCAUGCCUAAUACAUGCAAGUCGAACGAACACUUCGGUGUUAGUGGCGCACGGGUGCGUAACGCGUGGGAAUCUGCCCUUGGGUUCGGAAUAACAGUGGGAAACUACUGCUAAUACCGGAUGAUGACGUAAGUCCAAAGAUUUAUCGCCCAGGGAUGAGCCCGCGUAGGAUUAGCUAGUUGGUGAGGUAAAGGCUCACCAAGGCGACGAUCCUUAGCUGGUCUGAGAGGAUGAUCAGCCACACUGGGACUGAGACACGGCCCAGACUCCUACGGGAGGCAGCAGUAGGGAAUAUUGGACAAUGGGCGAAAGCCUGAUCCAGCAAUGCCGCGUGAGCGAUGAAGGCCUUAGGGUUGUAAAGCUCUUUUACCCGAGAUGAUAAUGACAGUAUCGGGAGAAUAAGCCCCGGCUAACUCCGUGCCAGCCGCCGCCGUAACAC
rnacentral:rRNA from 1 species